GCGAACGGGUGAGUAACACGUGGGCAAUCUGCCCUGCACUCUGGGACAAGCCCUGGAAACGGGGUCUAAUACCGGAUAACACCCCCUCUCGCAUGGGAGGGGGUUGAAAGCUCCGGCGGUGCAGGAUGAGCCCGCGGCCUAUCAGCUUGUUGGUGAGGUAGAAGCUCACCAAGGCGACGACGGGUAGCCGGCCUGAGAGGGCGACCGGCCACACUGGGACUGAGACACGGCCCAGACUCCUACGGGAGGCAGCAGUGGGGAAUAUUGCACAAUGGGCGAAAGCCUGAUGCAGCGACGCCGCGUGAGGGAUGACGGCCUUCGGGUUGUAAACCUCUUUCAGCAGGGAAGAAGCGAAAGUGACGGUACCUGCAGAAGAAGCGCCGGCUAACUACGUGCCAGCAGCCGCGGUAAUACGUAGGGCGCAAGCGUUGUCCGGAAUUAUUGGGCGUAAAGAGCUCGUAGGCGGCUUGUCACGUCGGUUGUGAAAGCCCGGGGCUUAACCCCGGGUCUGCAGUCGAUACGGGCAGGCUAGAGUGUGGUAGGGGAGAUCGGAAUUCCUGGUGUAGCGGUGAAAUGCGCAGAUAUCAGGAGGAACACCGGUGGCGAAGGCGGAUCUCUGGGCCAUUACUGACGCUGAGGAGCGAAAGCGUGGGGAGCGAACAGGAUUAGAUACCCUGGUAGUCCA
rnacentral:rRNA from 2 species